rnacentral:rRNA from 1 species
CCUACGGGGAGCUGCAGUGGGGAAUAUUGGACAAUGGGCGAAAGCCUGAUCCAGCCAUGCCGCGUGUGUGAAGAAGGCCUUCGGGUUGUAAAGCACUUUCAGUGGGGAAGAAAGCCUUGGGGCUAAUACCCUCGAGGAAGGACAUCACCCACAGAAGAAGCACCGGCUAACUCCGUGCCAGCAGCCGCGGUAAUACGGAGGGUGCGAGCGUUAAUCGGAAUUACUGGGCGUAAAGCGCGCGUAGGCGGUCUGAUAAGCCGGUUGUGAAAGCCCGGGCUCAACCUGGGAACGGCAUCCGGAACUGUCAGGCUAGAGUGCAGGAGAGGAAGGUAGAAUUCCCGGUGUAGCGGUGAAAUGCGUAGAGAUCGGGAGGAAUACCAGUUGCGAAGGCGGCCUUCUGGACUGACACUGACGCUGAGGUGCGAAAGCGUGGGUAGCAAACAGGAUUAGAUCCCCCGGUAGUC